ACGCACGCUGGCGGCGUGCUUAACCCAUGCCAGUCGAACGGAAAGGCCCUGCUUUUGUGGGGUGCUCGAGUGGCGAACGGGUGAGUAACACGUGAGUAACCUGCCCUUGACUUUGGGAUAACUUCAGGAAACUGGGGCUAAUACCGGAUAGGAGCUCCUGCUGCAUGGUGGGGGUUGGAAAGUUUCGGUGGUUGGGGAUGGACUCGCGGCUUAUCAGCUUGUUGGUGGGGUAGUGGCUUACCAAGGCUUUGACGGGUAGCCGGCCUGAGAGGGUGACCGGCCACAUUGGGACUGAGAUACGGCCCAGACUCCUACGGGAGGCAGCAGUGGGGAAUAUUGCACAAUGGGCGGAAGCCUGAUGCAGCAACGCCGCGUGCGGGAUGACGGCCUUCGGGUUGUAAACCGCUUUCGCCUGUGACGAAGCGUGAGUGACGGUAAUGGGUAAAGAAGCACCGGCUAACUACGUG
rnacentral:rRNA from 1 species